CAUGCAAGUCGCAGGGUAACAUGAGGAAAGCUUGCUUUCCUUGAUGACGACUGGCGCACGGGUGGGUAACGCGUAUCCAACCUUCCCAUAACUACGGGAUAACCCGUUGAAAGACGGCCUAAUACCGUAUGACAUCGUUUGCUGACAUCAAAUAACGAUUAAAGGUUUAGCGGUUAUGGAUGGGGAUGCGUCUGAUUAGCUUGUUGGCGGGGUAACGGCCCACCAAGGCGACGAUCAGUAGGGGUUCUGAGAGGAAGGUCCCCCACAUUGGAACUGAGACACGGUCCAAACUCCUACGGGAGGCAGCAGUGAGGAAUAUUGGUCAAUGGGCGAGAGCCUGAACCAGCCAAGUAGCGUGCAGGAUGACGGCCCUAUGGGUUGUAAACUGCUUUUAUGUGGGGAUAAAGUGCGUGACGUGUCAUGCAUUGCAGGUACCACAUGAAUAAGGACCGGCUAAUUCCGUGCCAGCAGCCGCGG
rnacentral:rRNA from 1 species